rnacentral:rRNA from 1 species
AGUGAACGCUGGCGGUAGGCCUAACACAUGCAAGUCGAACGGCAGCACAGUAAGAGCUUGCUCUUACGGGUGGCGAGUGGCGGACGGGUGAGGAAUACAUCGGAAUCUACUUUUUCGUGGGGGAUAACGUAGGGAAACUUACGCUAAUACCGCAUACGACCUACGGGUGAAAGCAGGGGAUCUUCGGACCUUGCGCGAUUGAAUGAGCCGAUGUCGGAUUAGCUAGUUGGCGGGGUAAAGGCCCACCAAGGCGACGAUCCGUAGCUGGUCUGAGAGGAUGAUCAGCCACACUGGAACUGAGACACGGUCCAGACUCCUACGGGAGGCAGCAGUGGGGAAUAUGGGACAAUGGGCGCAAGCCUGAUCCAGCCAUACCGCGUGGGUGAAGAAGGCCUUCGGGUUGUAAAGCCCUUUUGUUGGGAAAGAAAAGCAGCAGGUUAAUACCCCGCUGUUCUGACGGUACCCAAAGAAGAAGCACCGGCUAACUUCGU